rnacentral:rRNA from 1 species
CAGUCGCCGCGGUAACACGGAGGGCGCGAGCGUUACCCGGAUUUACUGGGCGUAAAGGGCGUGUAGGCUGCCUGGGGCGUCCCAUGUGAAAGGCCACGGCUCAACCGUGGAGGAGCGUGGGAUACGCUCAGGCUAGAGGGUGGGAGAGGGUGGUGGAAUUCCCGGAGUAGCGGUGAAAUGCGCAGAUACCGGGAGGAACGCCGAUGGCGAAGGCAGCCACCUGGUCCACUUCUGACGCUGAGGCGCGAAAGCGUGGGGAGCAAACCGGAUUAGAUACCCCCGUAGUCCCUGUCUCUUAUAC